CUCCGCGCACUACCCUGGGCCCGCCCCCUUUUCAGUCCAGGCCCGGCUUCCGCCCGGUCUCCUGGCAACGCUGCGGCCCCGCCCACGUCAUGGCGCCUGAGGAGAACGCGGGUACCAAACUCUUGCUGCAGAGUUUCGAGCGCCGCUUCCUAGCGGCGCGCACACUGCGCUCCUUCCCCUGGCAGGUGGGCGGCGGGGCGAGCGGAGAGGCCUGCGGGGCUUGCGGAAGUCCAGGGGCAGACGGGAUGGGUCUCCCUGCUGAAACCCCCGGCGCUCCUGCCACGUGAGUUCCUGGGCUCUCCCCGGUCAGGGCCACGAGACCCGGUCCCCGUCCCUGGGGCCUGGCCAGAGUCGCUCUCACCCCUCCUGCCCCGCGAGCUGGCGGCGGAAGCUGGGGGCGUCUCCACAGUCUUGGGGGGCAGACGCGCGCUCGGUGUGGGGUACAGUUCACGAUCAUUUUCAUGACUUUUUAAAGGCAGUAAUCGUUCUGGUCACUGGGACACAGCUGCCCUCGCCCAUUCUAAAAAGUCAGCACCCUCAGGCCCGCGGGUAACCACCUCCUCCUGAGCACGGUGACCAGGUCAAAGGCUGUCCCUCGGGCCUCAGUGUUCUCAUCUGUAUGUCGAGCACUGCACAGAAUCAGCUCAUGCGCUGAGGCUUUCACUCCUGUGAUGGAAGAGACAGAGAAGGGGGUGGCCUCUCCUCUCCCUGGGGACCUGCCAUUCUCAGCACAGGCGCAUGGCAGGCAGCAGCCUCCCUUCUGCCAGCAGAGGGGCUUAAUGCACCCUGCUCCAUUUGUAAUUCAUGUGCGGUGAGCUCACUGGGAUGAGUCAGUUUGGAUAUAUAUUCCUCCCUGGGUCUGCCCCAUUUUAUGGGGUGUUGCUUAAUCAUUUGCGUUAUUCCAUUGACAUGAAAUAUUUAGCACUCAGAGAUCAUUUCUGGUCAGGAGAAAUUUGUGCAUUUUUAACCCAAAAUAGAAACCUUCAUAAAAGCAUCAUAGGUCUCCAUUCAGUAUUGACUAUAAUUGUUCACAUGCCCACGCUGAAUGCUAACUUGGGCUCACCAUCAACACCCACGAGGUGGGUACUAUUAUUAUCACUCACAUUUGACCAGAGGGAUUGUUUGAUUAGGGUGUAGUAGUUGAGAGUUCAGACCCAGGAGACAGCCUGCCUGCUUCAAAUCCUGGCCCAACCCCUGGCCCUGUGUGACCUUGGGCAAGUGACUGCAUCUCUCUGUGCUGUUGUUUUCUUAUUAAUAAAAUGGUUGAUAUAAUGAUACCUACCUCUUAGGGUUGUUGUCAGCGUUGAGUACAAAAGCCUGUGGAUCAGUGCCUGGCUCAUGGCAAAUGCAUGUCGGUGUUAGCUAGUGUUUUUAUUCAGUCUCAAAAUGUUUAAUAAAUGCCUUCCGUGAGCCAAGCACCAUGGAUCAGCAGUACCCAUGAUAGAUGAGGCUCUGCUUGCAUGGGAGAGCUAGAGAAUAAACAAAUAAAUGAAUAAACAAGAAAAGACCAGAUGAGAGUGGCUUUAAAGCCAAGAAAACAGGGGAAUGGUGAAUGGACCAACUGGGAAGAAGAGUCACUAAAGUCGGGGAAUCAGGGAAGCCUUCCCCAAAGACGUGGCAUUUGAACUGGGGCCUGAGUGGUGAAGCAGCCAGCCAUGGGAAGGGUUUGGGGAACAGGAUAUGCAAAGGCCCUGUGGUGGAAACAAGCCAGCUGUGGUUGAGGAACAACAGCAAUGCAGCCAGUGUGGCUGGAGUGGAGUGAGCAGUGUGGGCCAGGGGUGAGGGAGAACAGGCCAGAGAGAGGGAUUAGGACCAGGUCUUGUAGGGCCUUUUAUGGCAUGGAAGGAGCUCUGAAGCAAUGAAGUGCCUUGCUGUGUGUCACAUACCAGCCGAGACAGUCUGCCUAACUCGGGAGCCAAAGCUUGCUGCUGGACUUGCCACUGUAAGAGGACAAUGUAACCCAGGCUGGUAUGGGCACAUUCUGCAUUUCCACUUAAACUCAGAUGGCAAGCCCAUCAAACCUUGGUGCCAUGGCUGCCCUGGUAAUUCCUGGCUGACCAGUGCAACCAGGGAGCUGGCCCAUGACCCGGGUGGCCGCUAAGUAGCCAGGACUAAUGCGGCCAAGAGUCAGCCUUCUUCCUGUGACUCAUCCAGGUGCACCCUGCGACAUCUGAAGGUCAGGCUUUCAGCCGCUGUGGCUUCCACUUCCAACUGGCUCCGCGUCCCCAGGGAGGGAUCACAUAGCGCUUUGCCAACACAUUCUAUUGCGUGUUUUAAUGUUCCUGUGAAUGCGCCCUUGAGAUUUCUCUCUCUCCCGUCCACACGGAGCUUAGAAGCAAAAUUAAGAGACUCAUCAGAUUCUGAGCUGCUGCGGGAUAUUUUGCAGAAGGUAAGAAUUCCAGAGUCCCUGGGACUCAUGACCCUGCCUCCUGAAUCUCUCCGGAAGACCUGAGAGAAGAACCACAGGUUCUUUAAAAACACCCCUGUUCAAAGAACAAAACCAUUGAGUCAGCACUGCAGGUAGGUGUCAGCACCUCCGACAGCUCCUGCGCUUUUGUUUUCUAUCUAAGACUUAGACAAAGACAUCAGAAUAUACAAAAAUCUGCAUGAGGGGGGAAAUCUAGGGAAUGUUUUUUAAACUAUCCUCAGCAAAAACAGAGAUGACAGGUGCAAAACAGCUUCUAGCAUUUGGUGGAUGCUCAGAGACUUUCUUUUUUGCAUUCCUGAGGCCUGUCCUGCCCACUCCUGUCUCCUCUAGACCUAAAUGGGCCCUUGCUUUGCCCAGGGUGGGGUUUGGACUCAAGUGCAUCUGCAUGCAGGUGACAGCCAGGAUCACCACCCGGCCCAGCCACAGCGUGACCUUGGCCUUGAGGGCCAAGUGCAGAUCACCCUGCAUCCUGGGUCUUCACCUUCGAAGGGCCAUGAGCCCUUCAGAAAAGACAAAGCAAUAGACUCCCUCCCAGAAAGAAGUGCACCAGAAGAAUACAUUUUCCAUACAAACUCAGGGGAGGCAGACAUCCUCCACCCCCACCCACCCAGCCCAUCCUAGGAGCCCCAGUGAAGAAUUCCUGUGCUAGAGGUGAACCAAGAUGAUCCACUUGGAAAAGAUGCAGCCACAGCAGGGAAGACUUUCGGGGCAAUACAGUAGGUCAGGGCUUCGAGCAUGGAGAUACCUGAAGUUAUCUCGCACCCUGCUCUGAGUUUCACCCUGAGCCUCACUCUCGUAGGUGGUGAAGCAUGAAAUGUAGGGAGAGCUGCUUUAAAACCCAGCACAAGGCUGGGUGCACUGGUUCACACCUGUAAUCCCAGGACAUUGGGAGGCUGAGGUGGACGGAUCACCUAAGGUCAGGAGUUCAAGACCAGCCUAGCCAACAUGGCAAAAACCCAUCUCUACUAAAAAUUUAAAAAAUUAGCUGGGCGUGGUGGUGCACGCCUAUAGUCCCAGCUACUUGGGAGGCUGAGGCAGGAGAAUCGCUUGAACCCAGGAGGCGGAGGCUGCGGUUAGCCAAGAUCGGGCCACUGCACUCCAGCCUGGGCAACAGAGAGAGACUGUGUCAGAAAAAAUGAAAAACCAGCACCAGCAUGAAGAGCCUGUGUAUUGCAUGGGGUACUUUGCUGCCCUUGGGCAGAAUCUGCAUCCCUCCCAGCCAGCAGGCACUGCGGACUGUCUCCUCCCUCUCCCUCCAGGCUCCUGUUUUCCCACCGUCCCCACUCCUGCUGCACCAGUGCAUCUGCCCUCCUUUCCAAGUGCCAGCCUGUGGCCACCUCAGAGCUUGCACCAGCUGUUCCCACUGCCUGGAACUUGCUCAUCCUGCACUUGGCUUCUCUCGGCUUUAGCUGGAGUGUCACCCUGAGCGUCCCCUCCCCUCCAUCCUGUCCCCAGGGACACACACUCCAAGAGAGCAGUUGCCGAGUGGGCCUUCCCGCCUCUUCCAUAGAGCCAGACAGUUGGCGACUGUCCUUACUGCAAGCCCUGGUUCACACUGGCUCCCCUGGGAGGGAGGUGGUUUAGGCCCACGUGCCCUGUGUUCCUGCUCAGAAUGGGCAUUAGAAAUGCUGCAAUAUCCUGUGCCACUGCAGUGGAAGCAUCUUUAGGAAACGGCUUAUAUCUUAAGACAAACUUCAGAUGCGUGGGGCCAGAACGCCGUGUCCAUCUACAUCUUUGCUGAGGGAUCGGGUAGCCUGGAGUUUGCCCUCUGCUGUGUUGGCUUGAAGCUCAUAGGAGACUUAAGACGGGCUCUCGAGCAACCAACGUUCUGUCCUUUGCUGUAGACUGUGAAGCAUCCUGUGUGUGUGAAGCACCCGCCAUCAGUCAAGUGUGCCCAGUGCUUUCUCUCAGAACUCAUCAAAAAUGUCAGCAAUGGGCAGUGUCCGCCCAGUAGCUGGACAGCAUAGCCACCUGCGUGCUGGAGCCCCCGUCCUUCCCAGGCCCUGGGCCUGCUUUGCCAAUACCAGCAUGGCAGGGGCCUCCCCAGGCAACUGGCUGCAGCUGAGUGUGACCCAUGGGAGACAGUGCAGGGCAGGAAGAAGGGGAGACCAGCGUCUCUCCCUCACUCUGCCUCAUGGGGUUUCCACAGCAGCUGCUUCUCUGGGGCCCCAGCUCCUAGAAUAUGAAUUCUCAUUCCUACCAGGCUGGUCCAGCCCACAGCACUGGAACCCUCAUCCACACCCUCUGUCCUGCCCGCUGAAGGGUUUGGAGUUUCCUGCUCUUGUCUGUCUCUGGGUUGCCCCACAGGCCCCUGUUGGAAGAUUUAGCUCUUGCCAUACCUUUGGAACUAGUUCCUCUGUGAAUUCUCUGCAUUGAUCCUGCUGGAAUGAGCUCUUUCCUGACUGAUACAGGAUGGAUUUUAUUUUUUACUUAUUUAUUUAGUUUUUUGAGACAGUCUCACUGUGGUGCCCAGGCUGGAUUACCGUGGCACAAUCUCGGCUCACUGAAACCUCUACCUCCUGGGUUCAAGCAACUCUCGUGCCUAAGAAGCUGGGACUACAGGCACACGCCACCAUGCCUGGCUAAUUUUUGUAUUUUUAGUAGAGAUAGAGUUUCACCAUGUUGGCCAGGCUGGUCUCGAACUCCUGACCUCAGGUGAUCCGCCUGCCUCAGCCUCCCAAAGUGCUGGGAUUACAGGCAUGAGCCACCACACCUGGCCUAGGAUGGAUUUUAAAGAUGGGCCCAAACAUGCAGGGUUUGACAUGAGGAUGUCGAGAGGCCGUUCCUUAGUAGGCAGUAGCAGACCUGCUGAGUGAAAGGGCCACACUUUUAGCAAAUAAACAAUCCCCUGCUUCUCCAAUACCUGCUUUCUCCCUAGUCCUCCCCAAAAGCGUGCAUCUGUGUUCACCAGCAGGUCUGCCCUGUGCCACCAGGAGAGGGCAGCAGUCACCCAGUGUACCCUGCUGCUGCCCUGUGAAUCCUAGGAUGGGACCAGCUGUGGAGAAGCAGCCUGCUGACAGCCACAGCCUGCAGCAUGGGCCGCCCUCACAGUUCUGCCUGGGCUCACUUAAAAGCACCUUUUGUUUUCCUCCUCUCUGUUUGAUCCAAACACAGAGCUCUCUGUCAUGGUCACGUGGCAGCUCUCACGGAAUCCUUGUUUCCUUCCCUAGACUACACCUAACCCUAACCUCUCAACACCUCUUGUUGAAGGCCCUCCCAUCCAGGUUGCCCUACCAAGUGAAAUUUUUUUUAGAGACAAGGUCUCUUGCCCAGGCUGUCCUCGAACUCCUGGGCUCAAGCAGUCCUCCCGUGUCAGCCUCUAGAUUAGCUGGGACUAUUCGGCACACACCACCACACCCAACGAACACGAGGCUGUCCACACGGAGCUUUUGGACGAGCUGUACGAGGCGCUGGCAGAGACCCUGAUGGCCAAGGAGUCCACCCAGGGCCACUGGAGCUAUUUGCUGCCCUCGGAAGGCUCGGUCACACUCUCCGAGCACAGCCAUCAUCUCCCACGGUACCACAGGCCUGGUCACAUGGGACGCUGCCCGCUACCUUGCAGAAUGGGCCAUCAAGAACCUGGCAGCCUUCACUAACAGGUGACCUCGGGGCACAGGGCAGCCGCCAUCUACCUUGCAGAAUGGGUCAUUGAGAACCUGGCAGCCUUCACUAACAGGACUGUCCUAGAGCUUGGCAGUGGCGCCGGCCUUACAGGCCUGUCCAUCUGCAAGAUGUGCCACCCCCGGACAUACAUCUUCAGCGACUGUCACAGCCGGGUCCUCGAGCAGCUCCGAGGGAAUGUCCUUCUCAAUGGCCUCUCAUUAGAGGCAGACAUCACUGCCAACUUAGAUAGCCCCAGGGUGACAGUGGCCCAGCUGGACUGGGAUGUAGCGACGGUCCAUCAGCUCUCUGCCUUCCAGCCAGAUGUUGUCAUUACAGCAGGUAAUGCCCAGCCCCGGGCAUCCUGUGCAGGCGGUGUCCUUGCAGCUCUACCCAGCUCUUGGCUCUGGGAAAAGGGAACAGUGGAUGCUGUCGGGCAUGGACAUGAUGGGGCUUCCAGAAGAGUUACUCCGGGCCUCCAGGGGGACAUCAAAGGACAGGGGUGCCUCUUAAGGUGACCUUCAAGCCACAGCCCUCUUGUUGGAGACAGGCAUACUCCCGUUACAGUCGUCACCACACGGCUCUGUUCCAGAGCCAUGCCCUGUGUCCUUCAGAGACCACAGGAGGAAAACAACCACUUCUGGGAUGAGGACAGGGCCCUUGGGAGAAGGUGGUGUUUGGCUGGGCCACCAAAAACCCCUCACCCCUGCCAGCACACUCAGUCCCCUCUCUGGUGGAACAGAGCUCUGCCUGUGGUCCUGGGUCCCAGCCCUGAAACCCACAGGUCCAGCGGUGGCCAGGGACAGAGGCCCACCCCUGCAAGCCAGCAGACCAAUCGGCAGACACCUGAAACACGAAGUUCACGGUAGGGUCAGGCUUUCUGCCAUUCAAAGCCCUCUAGAUAGGCCCAGAACCAGAGCUGGUUUUUUAAGGAACACCAGUGAGUCUGGAGAUUUUUUUCUUUUGCUUCGGUCUUUUGCAGCUUUCUCUACUAAGGGUUCUCCUUUUUCACCCAAGUAAUUGCCCUUCCAUCUAAUGGCCCAAAUGGUCAAAUGGCAUCUAAUAGUCUCAUAUGAACGCUGCCUCUCUGGCCUCACCCUGCUGCUGAGGUCAGCAUGAACUGGAACUUUCCACUUGUCCCUUUCAGUAACCUGAAGCUUUCACCGUAGACGUGCUGUAUUGCCCAGAAGCCAUCGUGUCCCUGGUCGGGGUCCUGCGGAGGCUGGCUGCCUGCUGGGAGCACCAGCGGGCUCCUGAGGUCUACAUGGCCUUUACCGUCCGCAACCCAGAGACGUGCCAGGUGUUCACCACCGAGCUAGGCUGGGCUGGGAUCAGAUGGGAAGCGGAAGCUCAUCAUGACCAGAAACUGUUUCCCUAUGGAGAGCACUUGGAGAUGGCAAUGCUGAACCUCACACUGUAGGACUCAUACACGACUCCAACGGGAUUGUUAGAAUCAAAUCACUCUCGUGGGAAGAAUUUUUAUAUGGGAAAGCGGAUAAAACUUUCAUUGGACUGGAAUGUUUGGAGAAUGUUAAAUUCCAAAUCAGGAACCACAAUCUGCCCUCUAAUAAGACAUCGGCUAUCUAAGCAUGUGGGUGCCCCCUUUCUGCCAGCAGUUCUGGUUCUUAAGAAAAUCACCAUAAAUCAGACAUGAAAAUUCUGGCUCCAAAAAUAGCAUUUUCUUUGUGCAAAUAAAAACGUGUGUAUCAAGUAUGACGUUCCCCCAACGUGGACACACUCGGUUCCUCACAAAGCCAAGCCCGCUGCAGCUGCCACAUCCCUGGACACACUCGGUUCCUCACAAAGCCAAGCUCGCUGCAGCUGCCACAUCCCUGGACACAUUCGGUUCCUCACAAAGCCAAGCCCGCGGCAGCUGCCACAUCCCUGGACACACUCGGUUCCUCACAAAGCCAAGCCCGCUGCAGCUGCCACAUCCCUGGGCUUGUGGUGCAGCAGGUGCUUUUCUCAAGACAGGAAUCAAAGUGUUAGGAACAUGGCAGAAAGGUGACACCUGGAGACCAAAUGCAGGAUGAGGAGUACUGCAGAGGUCACAGGGAAGUCACAGAACAGUAAUACGCUAGCAGGGACAUGGGGCGUGAAGAACAGAAGAAGACAGGAAGCAUUUCUGAGACUCCAAAGAAGAAAUCAGGGCCAACCACAGCUUCCCGGGUCAUUCACCAGGUGGCACCACUGCCGUCAUUUCAGCUUCUGGCCACUGGGAGGCGCUGCUUGAAAGGGUUUGCCCUGAGACUCCAAGAAGAAGCUGCGGGAAGGACAGCAGGGGCCCUGGGGUUUUAGCCUCUGGCCCAGGAGUUAUGUGUCCAUAACCAAAGGGAGCACAGUCUGCACCCAGCUCUCAUCCCAUCAGAGCUGCUGCGACUCCCGCAGGUUCUUCCGGAACUGGUUUAGCUUGCCUUCAGGAUCAGGAAAGUUUGAGAAAAGCAUCUGCAAAAUACUGAAGAGCAGAGCUUACCUCAUUGCCUGUCCCCACCCCAUCCCAGGUCACCACCUGGAUGACCCCAGCUCCCCGACCCAACAACAACCCCUCCCAAGUCCCUAGCUCCCUCACUUGGACUUGAGACCCUUCACACCCCAGCAGCGCUCCGCCUCCAUCUUGACAUGCUUUCUGGAAACUUCCCCGUAUGUCCCACUUUCCCACACUUGGUGCCCUGGAGCACCUUCCGGCCUCUACAUGAUGUACGUUCCCCUGUGAGCACCCUCCUCUCGGCCUCUGGCCAACACAGUCCCACCCAUCUGUGGGUAACAAGGGGGUGUUCUUUUCAGCCUUGCUAAACUGUCUGAAUCAAGGAUCACAAACUACAGCCUGCAGGCCAAAUCCAGCCCACAGCCUGUGUUUGUAAAUAAAGCUUUAUUGGAACAAAGCCACACCCCUUAAUCUACAGAUGAUCUGUGGCUACUUUCACACCACAACAGAGUACCAUGGUUCUGACAGAGACUGGGGGACCCAGUCUAAA
rnacentral:lncRNA from 1 species